rnacentral:rRNA from 1 species
CCUACGGGUGGCAGCAGUGGGGAAUAUUGCACAAUGGGCGAAAGCCUGAUGCAGCAACGCCGCGUGAAGGAAGAAGGGUCUCGGCUCGUAAACUUCUAUUAACAGGGACGUAAGAAAUUACGGUACCUGAAUAAGAAGCCCCGGCUAACUACGUGCCAGCAGCCGCGGUAAUCCGUAGGGGGCAAGCGUUAUCCGGAAUUACUGGGUGUAAAGGUUGAGUAGGUGGCAUGGUAAGCCAGAUGUGAAAGCCUUGGGCUUAACCCGAGGAUUGCAUUUGGAACUAUCAAGCUAGAGUACAGGGGAGGAAAGCGGAAUUCCUGGUGUAGCGGUGAAAUGCGUAGAUAUUAGGAAGAACACCGGUGGCGAAGGCGGCUUUCUGGACUGACACUGACGCUGAGGCACGAAAGCGUGGGGAGCGAACAGGAUUAGAUACCCUUGUAGUC